AGAGUUUGAUCAUGGCUCAGAACGAACGCUGGCGGCAUGCCUAACACAUGCAAGUCGAACGCCCCGCAAGGGGAGUGGCGAACGGGUGAGUAACGCGUGGGAACCUGCCCAGCAGUUGGGGAUAACCGCGGGAAACUGCGGCUAAUACCGAAUACGUCCUUUGGGAGAAAGAUUUAUCGCUGUUGGAGGGGCCCGCGUCGGAUUAGCUAGUUGGUGAGGUAACGGCUCACCAAGGCAUCGAUCCGUAGCUGGUCUGAGAGGAUGAUCAGCCACACUGGGACUUAGACACGGCCCAGACUCCUACGGGAGGCAGCAGUGGGGAAUAUUGGACAAUGGGGGCAACCCUGAUCCAGCAAUGCCGCGUGAGUGAUGAAGGCCUUAGGGUUGUAAAGCUCUUUUACCGGGGACGAUGAUGACGGUACCCGGAGAAUAAGCCCCGGCUAACUUCGUGCCAGCAGCCGCGGUA
rnacentral:rRNA from 1 species